UACGUAGGGUGCGAGCGUUAAUCGGAAUUACUGGGCGUAAAGCGUGCGCAGGCGGUUUUGUAAGCCAGAUGUGAAAUCCCCGGGCUCAACCUGGGAAUGGCAUUUGGGACUGCAAGGCUUGAGUGCGGCAGAGGAGACUGGAAUUCCUGGUGUAGCAGUGAAAUGCGUAGAUAUCAGGAGGAACACCCAUGGCGAAGGCAGCUAACUGGGCAUUAUCUGACGCUGAGGCGCGAAAGCGUGGGUAGCAAACAGG
rnacentral:rRNA from 1 species